UGGGAAGGCAGGUGUGAGAGGACUUAGAGAUCUUUUGGGUUUACAGAUUAAGAAGAAAAAAUACUAUGCGGAGAACUAAUGGAGCUGAUGCUGCUUUAACUGGAAAAGUGAUGUCUCUAUUCCCAUGAUUCUUUCUUUUUAAGGAGAGAAAUUGUAGAGGAGUGUCCAUAGGAGAAAAACGAAGCUGGUAACGCACUGAUGUUUGUAGUUGCUGCGUGGCACUGUUAUACAGAGCCAAGUACCUUCUCAGAGAAGGGCCCAAGGAGCUGGGAGGGAACACAAUUAGGACAGCUGACCCAAACUGCCCAAUAUAUUCCACACCAUAUGACAUCAAAGGAGUUUUGUGGCAGUAACGACCCUCCUGGCUUUGAGAUUAUGCCGUGUUGUCCUGAUGUGAUGGCAAGACUCAUUUGAUGGAGAUGCAAGGCAGUCAGCCUGUGCUCCUGUCUCACCUGAGCUCCUCUCCCUGAGCAGCAGGGAUCCCCCCAAUCCUUUUCUGAACCUUCUCUGCAGCCAGUGCUCUGAAAAAUGGGGUAUGCUUUUGUUCAAUACUAUCAUUUUGUCUCUGCAAGCAGAAAUCCUCUUGCAGUAGGAACAGACAGCUUUGAAGAGUAACCUGCUUACAAAGAAAUGUCUUCUCAGCCCAAGUUCAAAAUCAUUUUGUUCUGCUAGCAAACAAAAAUGUAUGUUUGGACCCUCCAGAAGUUAAGUAAA